UUCACAUUUAUCUACCAUUUUACAUAAUUGAAGAUGUUUAGUACUGAUUCUGAUAUCAUAUUAUUCAAAAUAAUGAUUUAAUAAAAAAAUAUUAUGCUUUAAGGCGUUUUAAGUUAAAACGUACAGUACUAAAAUUAAAGUAUGAAUUAUUUUGAAUCGACUAUAUAAUUUUUUUAUAUUUUGAUUUUACUAUCCAAUCUUUUAGUUUGUUUGAUUUGAGUUACUCAGCAGCAUUUUGACUUUAAAAUUUAAGCCAACUACUUAUCAUAACGAAUUUAUAGUCACGAGAGUUACAUAAAGUAUGCUAACGAAAUCUACAAUGACAAAUGAUGAAAUUUUGAAAAAAAAUUAAAUAAUUGAAAGGUUGGAUAUAUAAUAAAAUCAAAAGUAUAAAACUAUAACUUAAUCAAAGUAGUCUAAAAUUCAGAUAAAUUUUGUAUAUUGUUUUCUCCUGCAUUUAAUACGAUAAUGGAUAACAACAGACGGAGAGAGAGAACUAUCUACCUCAAUCCCACAAAAUCUCAAUCCAAAGCUAAAGAGGGAGAGGGAAAGACAGCGAACUAUCCACCUCAGUCCCACACAUGGUCUCCAAUCUAAACACAUGAUCUCCAAUCUAAAGCUAGCGUAC
rnacentral:lncRNA from 1 species